ACAGCAGCAGCCGCGGUAAUACGUAGGUGGCAAGCGUUGUCCGGAAUUAUUGGGCGUAAAGGGCUCGCAGGCGGUUUCUUAAGUCUGAUGUGAAAGCCCCCGGCUCAACCGGGGAGGGUCAUUGGAAACUGGGAAACUUGAGUGCAGAAGAGGAGAGUGGAAUUCCACGUGUAGCGGUGAAAUGCGUAGAGAUGUGGAGGAACACCAGUGGCGAAGGCGACUCUCUGGUCUGUAACUGACGCUGAGGAGCGAAAGCGUGGGGAGCGAACAGGAUUAGAUACCCGCGUAGUCCCUGUCUCUUAUAC
rnacentral:rRNA from 1 species